rnacentral:rRNA from 2 species
AUCUGGGCGGCGGAAUUCAGGAUGACGGACGCGUCUUCGCGGGCGCGUUCGUCGUUUGAUAUUUCCGUCGCCGACUCAACCCGCAGACGUCGCGACCUGUUCGCGGUCGGUCCCUGCUCGGAGGAGUCACGUUCGAGUUUGUUGCGUGCGCGUUUCUGCGCGUUACGCGGCAAAGGCGUGAAUCUCUGGCUGGCCGUCGGACAGUACGCUCAACGGUGUCCGGUGUCGUCGUCUCGUACGCGCGCGCACCGGUACCGGUCGGCGACGAAUUCUUCGGGCCUCUUUCCGACCCGUCUUGAAACACGGACCAAGGAGUCUAACAUGCGCGCGAGUCGCGGGGUGUCGAGCGUACUACGGUGCGUUCGUUACGUUGCGAAACCCGUACAUGUCGAAGGCGUAAUGAAAGUAAAUGGGGAAGAUGGUGUUCCGAGUACACGUUCCGCGGUCAUUGGUACCGCGGCCGGACACCCGCAUUCCCGGGGCGUCUCAACGGCCCGUCGCGGAUGCGGGCAGUCGUCUUUCGGGGCGGCUGUCGGUCUGCGACGAACCGA